rnacentral:misc_RNA from 1 species
GAAAUGCGAUACGUAAUGUGAAUUGCAGACCGUGAAUCAUCUAAUCUUUGAACGCAUAUUGCGCUCUUUGGUAUUCCGAAGAGCAUGCCUGUUUGAGAAUCGAUAACUCAAAUCAUCCCUUCGGGACGUACCAGUGGUACUAGCGUUGGGUUGGACAUGGUCGAUUAUCGUUAUUGAUAACGACUGCAAACCAGUGUCGACCAAAGUGCUAUUGUUACUUGGAACGUGUUUACUUGAUCAUUGAUCAUUACCUACGAGCCUUGCAACUAGAAUAGUAUCGAGGGCGACUGACACCAAAAACACUUUACAGUGUAAACUUGGUCUCAAAUCAGGCAAGAGUACCCGCUGAACUUAA